GCAUUGAGUUCCAGAGACCCAAAUAGAGGUAGAAAACAAUGGGAAAAAAAAAUGCAAAAAGCAUUAGAGAAGAAUCGAGAAACAUGAGGAAAAAGAGAGAGAAAAGAGGGGAAGAGAAACAACAAAUAGAAUUGUAAAUAAACAGGGAAAGGAGCAGCAACAUUGAUGUAAACAGGGUCGAAUUAUGCUUCUCGAUUGGGGUUGAUUCUUGACUGCAACAAGGUUACACCAAAUUGUAGUAGCUCGGGAAAUAUCGAGGUCAGGACACUUGAUGAUCGAAUUAGUCCUAUAGCACCAACUCAAAAUAUGAUGGGUCUCGACGAGUGGAUAUAGCCGUCUUUGAAGAUGGACGACCCUUUGUCUUAGUUUUGAUUUGUGACUCAACUAAUGAUGUAGAACUCGGACUAGCAACCUCUUUCAAUUUAUGUAGGAUUUCUACCUUUACAUGAUCAUUAUUAUCUUGAUAAUGUUUAUGAAUCAUCUCAAAUAAUGAUGCACAAUUAAUCUCAAAUUCUAGUCAUUGAUGUGUCAAACUUGCCUUGAAAAGACCCUAAAUGUCUCUUAAGUUUCGCAUGUGCAGAUUCAGCCUUACCA